rnacentral:rRNA from 1 species
UACAGAGGUGGCAAGCGUUGUUCGGAAUUACUGGGCGUAAAGGGCGCGUAGGCGGCCUACUAAGUCAGACGUGAAAUCCCCCGGCUUAACCUGGGAACUGCGUCUGAUACUGGAAGGCUUGAGGAUGGGAGAGGGAUGUAGAAUUCCAGGUGUAGCGGUGAAAUGCGCAGAUAUCUGGGGGAAGGCCGGCGGCGAAGGCGCCUAUCUGGGAGAUUCCUGACACUGAGGCGCGAAAGCGUGGGGAGCAAACAGG